GACGAACGCUGGCGGCGUGCUUAACACAUGCAAGUCGAACGGAAAGGCCCUGCUUUUGUGGGGUGCUCGAGUGGCGAACGGGUGAGUAACACGUGAGUAACCUGCCCUUGACUUUGGGAUAACUUCAGGAAACUGGGGCUAAUACCGGAUAGGAGCUCCUGCUGCAUGGUGGGGGUUGGAAAGUUUCGGCGGUUGGGGAUGGACUCGCGGCUUAUCAGCUUGUUGGUGGGGUAGUGGCUUACCAAGGCUUUGACGGGUAGCCGGCCUGAGAGGGUGACCGGCCACAUUGGGACUGCGGUACGGCCCAGACUCCUACGGGAGGCAGCGGUGGAGAAUAUUGCAGAAUGGGCGGAAGCCUGAUGCAGCAACGCCGCGUGCGGGAUGACGGCCUUCGGGUUGUAAACCGCUUUCGCCUGUGACGAAGCGUGAGUGACGGUAAUGGGUAAAGAAGCACCGGCUAACUACGUG
rnacentral:rRNA from 1 species